UACGGAGGGUGCGAGCGUUGUCCGGAAUCACUGGGCGUAAAGGGCGCGUAGGCGGCGCGGGCAGUCAACGGUGAAAGCUUGGGGCUCAGCCCCGAGUCGGCCGUCGAUACUCCCGGGCUUGAGCACUGUAGAGGCAGGUGGAAUUCCGGGUGUAGCGGUGGAAUGCGUAGAGAUCCGGAAGAACACCGGUGGCGAAGGCGGCCUGCUGGGCAGUAGCUGACGCUGAUGCGCGACAGCGUGGGGAGCAAACAGG
rnacentral:rRNA from 1 species